rnacentral:rRNA from 1 species
AUUGAACGCUGGCGGCAGGCCUAACACAUGCAAGUCGAACGAGUGGCGGACGGGUGAGUAAUGUCUGGGAAACUGCCUGAUGGAGGGGGAUAACUACUGGAACCGGUAGCUAAUACCGCAUACCAUCAGAUGUGCCCAGAUGGGAUUAGCUAGUUGGUGGGGUACCGGCUCACCAAGGCGACGAUCCCUAGCUGGUCUGAGAGGAGGACCAGCCACAUGGGAACGGAGACACGGUCCAGACUCCUACGGGAGGCAGCAGUGGGGAAUAUUGCACAAUGGGGGCAAGCCUGAUGCAGCCAUGCCGCGGGUAUGAAGAAGGCCGUCGGGUUGUAAAGUACUUUCAGCGGGGAGGCGUUACCCGCAGAAGAAGCACCGGCUAACUCCGUGCCAGCAGCCGCGGUAAUUC